rnacentral:lncRNA from 1 species
CUCGGUGCUUGAGAAGGCUUCUUUCUCGCUCUAAAGGGAGGCACGCCACGACCCGAGCACAACGGUAAAUUCACAUUAGCUUUACUAACUCGCUGUUCCGUUGCUUUAAGCAGAAUAGAAACAAAUGAGAGAGAGACCAAUCUAUCAAUUAAGUAAACUCACUUAUGACCGAAACCUCACUUAUUGAGAAUUUAGUGCAAUACUUAAUGUAAUCUAGUAACACCACAGUAGACUCCCUUAACUAGUAAUACCACGGCAGACUCCCUUAACUCUUAACAGCUAAACUCUCAACUUUAAGUUAACCGAAUAUCGGCAAAAGAGCAUUGAGUGCAAAAGAAAGCACAUGACUCAUAAUAUACGUUGGUUACAUGCUUCUUCCCUAAAGCUUCUAACUUAAGGAAUCUAGGAUAGUGC